rnacentral:rRNA from 1 species
AUACGGAGGGUGCAAGCGUUAAUCGGAAUUACUGGGCGUAAAGCGUACGUAGGCGGUCCGUUAAGUUAGAUGUGAAAGCCCCGGGCUUAACCUGGGAACUGCAUUUAAAACUGGCGAACUAGAGUUGAGUAGAGGGGAGUGGAAUUUCAGGUGUAGCGGUGAAAUGCGUAGGGAUCUGAAGGAACACCAGUGGCGAAGGCGACUCCCUGGACUCGAACUGACGCUGAGGUACGAAAGCGUGGGUAGCAAACGGGAUUAGAAACCCGAGUAGUCC